rnacentral:sRNA from 12 species
UGGGCCGGCCGAAAGACCCAGGUCCAUAUACUGGUGGGUAAGACACCC